GCCUCCGUAGCUCAAUCGGCAGAGCAGCUGACUCUUAAUCAGCGGGUUCUCGGUUCGAGUCCGAGCGGGGGCA
rnacentral:tRNA from 2 species